rnacentral:rRNA from 1 species
AAACCAGCACCUCAAGUGGUCAGGAGGAUUAUUGGGCCUAAAGCAUCCGUAGCCUGUUCUAUAAGUUUCCGGUUAAAUCCAUUAGCUCAACUAAUGGGCUGCCGAAAAUACUGUAGAACUAGGGAGUGGGAGAGGUAGACGGUAUUCGGUAGGAAGGGGUAAAAUCCUUUGAUCUAUUGAGGACCACCUGUGGCGAAGGCGGUCUACCAGAACACGUUCGACGGUGAGGGAUGAAAGCUGGGGGAGCAAACCGGAUUAGAUACCCUAGUAGUCC